rnacentral:rRNA from 1 species
GACGAACGCUGGCGGCGUGCUUAACACAUGCAAGUCGAACGAAGAGCGGUGGAAGCUUGCUUCUAUCAAUCUUAGUGGCGAACGGGUGAGUAACGCGUAAUCAACCUGCCCUUCAGAGGGGGACAACAGUUGGAAACGACUGCUAAUACCGCAUACGAUCUAAUCUCGGCAUCGAGGAUAGAUGAAAGGUGGCCUCUACAUGUAAGCUAUCACUGAAGGAGGGGAUUGCGUCUGAUUAGCUAGUUGGAGGGGUAACGGCCCACCAAGGCGAUGAUCAGUAGCCGGUCUGAGAGGAUGAACGGCCACAUUGGGACUGAGACACGGCCCAGACUCCUACGGGAGGCAGCAGUGGGGAAUCUUCCGCAAUGGACGAAAGUCUGACGGAGCAACGCCGCGUGAGUGAUGACGGCCUUCGGGUUGUAAAGCUCUGUUAAUCGGGACGAAAGGCCUUCUUGCGAAUAGUGAGAAGGAUUGACGGUACCGGAAGAGAAAGCCACGGCUAACUACGUG